rnacentral:rRNA from 1 species
UGGGGGAUAUUGCACAAUGGGGGAAACCCUGAUGCAGCGACGCCGCGUGAGGGAAGAAGGUUUUCGGAUUGUAAACCUCUGUCUGGGGGGACGAAGAAAGUGACGGUACCCCCGGAGGAAGCCACGGCUAACUACGUGCCAGCAGCCGCGGUAAUACGUAGGUGGCGAGCGUUGUCCGGAAUUACUGGGUGUAAAGGGAGCGUAGGCGGGUCAUUAAGUAAAGCGUGAAAUCUAGCGGCUUAACCGCUUUGAGCGUUUUAAACUGAUGGUCUUGAGUGCAGUAGAGGUAGGCGGAAUUCCUAGUGUAGCGGUAAAAUGCGUAGAUAUUAGGAGGAACACCAGUGGCGAAGGCGGCCUGCUGGGCUGUAACUGACGCUGAGGCUCGAAAGUGUGGGGAGCAAACA